GACGUGCUAAUCUGCGAUAAGCGUCGGUAAGGUGAUAUGAACCGUUAUAACCGGCGAUUUCCGAAUGGGGAAACCCAGUGUGAUUCGUCACACUAUCAUUAACUGAAUCCAUAGGUUAAUGAGGCGAACCGGGGGAACUGAAACAUCUAAGUACCCCGAGGAAAAGAAAUCAACCGAGAUUCCCCCAGUAGCGGCGAGCGAACGGGGAGCAGCCCAGAGCCUGAAUCAGUGUGUGUGUUAGUGGAAGCGUCUGGAAAGGCGUGCGAUACAGGGUGACAGCCCCGUACACAAAAAUGCACAUACUGUGAGCUCGAUGAGUAGGGCGGGACACGUGGUAUCCUGUCUGAAUAUGGGGGGACCAUCCUCCAAGGCUAAAUACUCCUGACUGACCGAUAGUGAACCAGUACCGUGAGGGAAAGGCGAAAAGAACCCCGGCGAGGGGAGUGAAAAAGAACCUGAAACCGUGUACGUACAAGCAGUGGGAGCACGCUUAGGCGUGUGACUGCGUACCUUUUGUAUAAUGGGUCAGCGACUUAUAUUCUGUAGCAAGGUUAACCGAAUAGGGGAGCCGAAGGGAAACCGAGUCUUAACUGGGCGUUAAGUUGCAGGGUAUAGACCCGAAACCCGGUGAUCUAGCCAUGGGCAGGUUGAAGGUUGGGUAACACUAACUGGAGGACCGAACCGACUAAUGUUGAAAAAUUAGCGGAUGACUUGUGGCUGGGGGUGAAAGGCCAAUCAAACCGGGAGAUAGCUGGUUCUCCCCGAAAGCUAUUUAGGUAGCGCCUCGUGAAUUCAUCUCCGGGGGUAGAGCACUGUUUCGGCAAGGGGGUCAUCCCGACUUACCAACCCGAUGCAAACUGCGAAUACCGGAGAAUGUUAUUACGGGAGACACACGGCGGGUGCUAACGUCCGUCGUGAAGAGGGAAACAACCCAGACCGCCAGCUAAGGUCCCAAAGUCAUGGUUAAGUGGGAAACGAUGUGGGAAGGCCCAGACAGCCAGGAUGUUGGCUUAGAAGCAGCCAUCAUUUAAAGAAAGCGUAAUAGCUCACUGGUCGAGUCGGCCUGCGCGGAAGAUGUAACGGGGCUAAACCAUGCACCGAAGCUGCGGCAGCGACGCUUAUGCGUUGUUGGGUAGGGGAGCGUUCUGUAAGCCUGUGAAGGUGUGCUGUGAGGUAUGCUGGAGGUAUCAGAAGUGCGAAUGCUGACAUAAGUAACGAUAAAGCGGGUGAAAAGCCCGCUCGCCGGAAGACCAAGGGUUCCUGUCCAACGUUAAUCGGGGCAGGGUGAGUCGACCCCUAAGGCGAGGCCGAAAGGCGUAGUCGAUGGGAAACAGGUUAAUAUUCCUGUACUUGGUGUUACUGCGAAGGGGGGACGGAGAAGGCUAUGUUGGCCGGGCGACGGUUGUCCCGGUUUAAGCGUGUAGGCUGGUUUUCCAGGCAAAUCCGGAAAAUCAAGGCCGAGGCGUGAUGACGAGGCACUACGGUGCUGAAGCAACAAAUGCCCUGCUUCCAGGAAAAGCCUCUAAGCAUCAGGUAACAUCAAAUCGUACCCCAAACCGACACAGGUGGUCAGGUAGAGAAUACCAAGGCGCUUGAGAGAACUCGGGUGAAGGAACUAGGCAAAAUGGUGCCGUAACU
rnacentral:rRNA from 1 species